rnacentral:ncRNA from 1 species
ACUGUGGAGCAUCAAAUAAACGCAAGUAGUCCAGACGAAAGCGGAUGCUAUGAAGCAGGAA